AGCAGUCAGCAAGAAACUGAGACCCUAGACCCUUAGCUCCAACAGCCUACAAAUAACUGAAACCUUCCAAAAACCGUGGGAGGGAGCCUAGAAGCAGAUUCCCCCCAGCUGAGACUUCACAUGAGACCACAGCUCCAGCACGUACUCUGACUGCAACCUGGUGAGAGACUUUGAGGUCUGACUGCAACCUGGUUAUCUCAAUCAACAUGCACACACACCACCACCACCACCAAUGACAACAACAUCUAUAAGAUGGAGAAACUGAGGUUAAGUAACUCACCCAAGGUCACACAGCUAGUAGAUCGCAGUGACAAGACUUGAGCGCAGAAAACCUGA